CUACAGUCAUUGACGAGAACAAGUAAGCAUAGUGAUGGUUCUACAGAGAGUUGGCAUUCUGCUGCAAGCCAAUGUUCCAUAUAUGCUGAAUAUCCUCUCCGAGAAGAAAAGUUGAGGCUAUAAGUAGGCUUUUCCGGAAUCCUCACCGUUAUCACAGAGGCGCGUAUGAUUGUACGUUGAUGAGUGCUGGAGAAUAUGAUGUUUAUAAACUCUGGAACCAGGGUGGUAACGCGGGUUAUAAGCUCGUCCCUAGA
rnacentral:ncRNA from 1 species